AGUGAACGCUGGCGGUAGGCCUAACACAUGCAAGUCGAACGGCAGCACAGUAAGAGCUUGCUCUUACGGGUGGCGAGUGGCGGACGGGUGAGGAAUACAUCGGAAUCUACUUUUUCGUGGGGGAUAACGUAGGGAAACUUACGCUAAUACCGCAUACGACCUACGGGUGAAAGCAGGGGAUCUUCGGACCUUGCGCGAUUGAAUGAGCCGAUGUCGGAUUAGCUAGUUGGCGGGGUAAAGGCCCACCAAGGCGACGAUCCGUAGCUGGUCUGAGAGGAUGGUCCGCCACCCUGGAACGUAGACACGGUCCCGACUCCUACGGGAGGGCGCAGUGGGGAAUAUUGGACAAUGGGCGCAAGCCUGAUCCAGCCAUACCGCGUGGGUGAAGAAGGCCUUCGGGUUGUAAAGCCCUUUUGUUGGGAAAGAAAAGCAGCAGGUUAAUACCCCGCUGUUCUGACGGUACCCAAAGAAUAAGCACCGGCUAACUUCGUG
rnacentral:rRNA from 1 species